AUUGAACGCUGGCGGCAGGCCUAACACAUGCAAGUCGAGCGGAUGAAGGGAGCUUGCUCCUGGAUUCAGCGGCGGACGGGUGAGUAAUGCCUAGGAAUCUGCCUGGUAGUGGGGGAUAACGUCCGGAAACGGGCGCUAAUACCGCAUACGUCCUGAGGGAGAAAGUGGGGGAUCUUCGGACUUCACGCUAUCAGAUGAGCCUAGGUCGGAUUAGCUAGUUGGUGGGGUAAAGGCCUACCAAGGCGACGAUCCGUAACUGGUCUGAGAGGAUGAUCAGUCACACUGGAACUGAGACACGGUCCAGACUCCUACGGGAGGCAGCGAUGGGGAAUAUUGGACAAUGGGCGAAAGCCUGAUCCAGCCAUGCCGCGUGUGUGAAGAAGGUCUUCGGAUUGUAAAGCACUUUAAGUUGGGAGGAAGGGCAGUAAGUUAAUACCGUGCUGUUUUGACGUUACCAACAGAAUAAGCACCGGCUAACUUCGUG
rnacentral:rRNA from 1 species